rnacentral:rRNA from 1 species
UGAAUACGAGAUGCUACGGCGUCGAAGCAGUCUAUGUCAUACUUCCAAGAAAAGCUUGCACUGUCAUAAACAAAUAAUGCCUGUACCAUAACCGACACAGGUGGGUAGGUAGAGUAUACUAAGGGGCGCGAGAUAACUCUCUCUAAGGAACUCGGCAAAAUGACUCCGUAACUUCGGGAGAAGGAGUGCCUUAUUUAUAAGGUUGCAAUAACAAGAUCCAAGCAACUGUUUACCAAAAACACAGGUCUCCGCUAAGUCGUAAGACGAUGUAUGGGGGCUGACGCCUGCCCAGUGCCAGAAGGUUAAAGAAGUUGGUUAGCAUCCGCGAAGCUGAUAACUGAAGCCCUGGUGAACGGCGGCCGUAACGAUAACGGUCCUAAGGUAGCGAAAUUCCUUGUCGGGUAAGUUCCGACCCGCACGAAAGGCGUAAUGAUUUGGAUACUGUCUCGGAGAGGGGCUCGGUGAAAUAGACUUGUCUGUGAAGAUGCGGACUACCUGCACCAGGACAGAAAGACCCUAUGAAGCUUUACUGUAACCUGAAAUUGAAAUUGGACUUUACUUGCGCAGUAUAGGUGGGAGGCGUUGAGAAUAUUCUUGCGGGAUUAUUGGAGCCAUCAGUGAGAUGCCACUCUUGUAAUGUUAGAUUUCUAACUUUGUAUCAUUAUCUGGUCAAAGAACAGUUUCAGGCGGGCAGUUUGACUGGGGCGGUCGCCUCCUAAACGGUAACGGAGGCGCACAAAGGUUUCCUCUGAACGGGUAGAAAUCGUAUCUAGAGUGUAAAGGCAUAAGGAAGCUUGACUGUGAGACCUACAAGUCGAGCAGGGACGAAAGUCGGUCUUAGUGAUCUGACGGUGCUGAGUGGAAAGGCCGUCACUCAACGGAUAAAAGUUACUCUAGGAUAACAGGCUGAUCUCCCCCAAGAGUUCACAUCGACGGGGAGGUUUGGCACCUCGAUGUCGGCUCAUCGCAUCCUGGGGCGGUAGUACGUCCCAAGGGUUGGGCUGUUCGCCCAUGAAAGCGGUACGCGAGCUGGGUUCAGAACGUCGUGAGACAGUUCGGUCCAUAUCCGGUGUAGGCGUUAGAAUAUUGAGAGGAGCCUUCUUUAGUACGAGAGGACCGAGAAGGACAUACCUCUGGUGUACCAGUUAUCGUGCCAACGGUAAACGCUGGGUAGCUAUGUGUGGAGUGGAUAACCGCUGAAAGCAUCUAAGUGGGAAGCCCACCUCAAGAUGAGUGCUCUCACAGGGUUAACCU